UACGUAGGUGGCAAGCGUUGUCCGGAUUUACUGGGUGUAAAGGGCGCGUAGGCGGGAUCGCAAGUCAGAUGUGAAAUCUGGGGGCUUAACCCUCAAACUGCAUUUGAAACUGCGGUUCUUGAGUGAUGGAGAGGCAGGCGGAAUUCCUAGUGUAGCGGUGAAAUGCGUAGAUAUUAGGAGGAACACCAGUGGCGAAGGCGGCCUGCUGGACAUUAACUGACGCUGAGGCG
rnacentral:rRNA from 1 species